rnacentral:rRNA from 1 species
CCUACGGGUGGCAGCAGUGGGGAAUAUUCGUCCAUGGACGGAAGUCUGAACCAGCCAUGCCGCGUGCAGGAAGACGGUCUUAUGAGCUGUAAUCUGUUUUUGUACAAGGGUAAACCUGAAAAAGUGUAUUCAGCUGAAAUUAUCUUACGAAUAAGGUUCGGCGAACGUCGGGCCAGGAGCCGCGGGUAUACCGGGGAUACAAGACUUAUUCUGAUUUAUUGGGUUUAAAGGGUGCGUAGGCGGAUUGAUAAGUUAGAUGUGAAAUGGCAGAGCUUAACUCGGGAACUGCCUCGAAUACUGUUGAGCUAGAGAGUAGGUGCGGUAGGCGGAAUGUCUGGUGUAGCGGUGAAAUGCUUAGAGAGCAUACAGAAAACCGAUUGCGAAGGCAGCUUACCAAUCUAUAUCUGACGUUGAGGCACGAAAGCGUGGGGAGCAAACAGGAUUAGAUACCCUUGUAGUC